CGGGGGCACGGGGGSCCUACGGGGYGCACCAGGCGCGCAAACUUUACAAUGCGAGCAAUCGUGAUAAGGAAACCCUGAGUGCCUGUCGAUGCAGGCUGUUCAUAUAUCUAAAUCAUAUGUGAAGAAAGGGCAGUGCAASWMCGGUGC
rnacentral:rRNA from 1 species